CCUCUCAUGGCGUAGGGGUAACGCGCCCCAACUAGAGAUCGGGGAGUCGUGAGUUCGAUUCUCACUGAGAAGA
rfam:Aedes aegypti strain Liverpool supercont1.146 genomic scaffold, whole genome shotgun sequence.